rnacentral:ncRNA from 1 species
GAACUAACCUAAAUCACGGCGGUCUUUUGUAGAAAUGCAAAAGUACGAAACUGAUUAAUAUCGGUGAAAUCCUAAUGCGUAGGCAAUGCCUACACAAGGACAACAUCGAGGGAAUUAAAUUGCUUAAUAAAAAAACCGCCCCAUUUUUAAAUGAGGCGGGUAACACCGGGGCAUCAGGCGGAGGAUGAAAAAUAUGGCUUAAAUUAAGCACUUUUAGCCCGUAGAGACUAAACAUCAGAUGUCUUAACUCGUAAGAGAAAGAUAAAGUUAUAGUCCAUUCCUUACAGUAAUGUGAGA